CUCAAAAAUGCUCUCUUUUGAUUGGUUAAUCGUGCCGAAGCGCAAUGGCGCAUUUGCCAUCCGCCAUUUUGCCAUUGAUUGGAUGGGAAAAGCUGGUGCCGGAACAUAGAAAUUCUAUCAAGCCGCAUCGCGGCUUCUACUGUGUAAUAUUGGAAGAACCGGGCUGACUCUUCCAAGAUGUAUCUGUACAAUUUGACUCUACAAGGCUCAACAGCCAUCACACAUGCUGUACAUGGAAACUUUUCUGGGACAAAACAGCAAGAAAUCGUGAUAUCACGUGGCAAAAUCUUAGAGCUACUUCGUCCAGAUCCUAACACCGGCAAAGUGCACACCUUGAUGAAAGUGGAGAUAUUCGGGAUAAUUAGAUCUAUGAUGUCAUUUCGACUCACAGGAGGCACGAAAGAUUACAUUGUAAUUGGCUCUGAUUCUGGACGCAUUGUGAUUUUGGAGUACAUACCCAACAAAAAUAUUUUGGAAAAAGUUCAUCAAGAGACUUUUGGGAAGUCGGGAUGCAGGAGAAUUGUGCCUGGUCAAUAUUUAGCUAUAGAUCCUAAAGGAAGAGCUGUUAUGAUUGGUGCCAUAGAGAAACAGAAACUAGUAUACAUAUUAAACAGAGAUGCAGAGGCGAGAUUGACUAUUUCCUCUCCACUUGAAGCGCACAAGUCAAACACUUUAGUGUACCACAUGGUGGGAGUUGAUGUGGGAUUUGAGAACCCCAUGUUUGCCUGUUUGGAAAUAGACUAUGAGGAAGCAGAUUCUGAUCCAACAGGUGAAGCAGCACAAAAAACACAACAGACACUAACAUUUUAUGAGUUGGAUUUGGGACUGAAUCAUGUUGUCAGAAAAUAUUCUGAGCCUUUGGAAGAACACGCUAAUUUCUUAAUCACAGUCCCAGGAGGCAAUGAUGGACCAUCUGGUGUGCUAAUUUGCUCUGAAAACUACCUCACAUACAAAAAUUUGGGAGACCAACAUGACAUCCGAUGUCCUAUACCAAGGCGGAGGAAUGAUCUUGAUGACCCAGAGAGGGGAAUGAUCUUUGUAUGUUCUGCCACACACAAAACCAAGUCAAUGUUUUUCUUUUUGGCUCAAACUGAACAAGGAGACAUAUUUAAAAUUACAAUAGAGACUGAUGAGGACAUGGUGACUGAAAUUAAAUUAAAAUAUUUUGACACCGUCCCAGUUGCAACAGCCAUGUGUGUGCUUAAAACUGGGUUUUUGUUUGUGGCCUGCGAAUUUGGUAACCACUAUCUGUAUCAAAUUGCCCACUUGGGUGAUGAGGAUGAUGAGCCUGAGUUCAGUUCAGCCAUGCCUUUGGAGGAGGGUGAUACAUUCUUCUUUGCACCCAGACCUCUGAGAAAUUUAGUACUUGUUGAUGAAAUAGAUUCACUUUCCCCUGUACUAGCAUGUCAUGUGGCAGAUUUGGCCGGUGAAGAUACACCUCAAGUAUACCUAGCUUGUGGGCGUGGUUCCAGAUCGUCAAUACGAGCACUCAGACAUGGUUUAGAAGUGGCUGAAAUGGCUGUGUCGGAACUGCCUGGCUCACCAAAUGCUGUGUGGACAGUCCGAAGGCAUAAAGAUGAAUCUACUAUUGGCUGAUGUGAAGAUGGUUCAACAAACACAUAAGAGGAGUACGAUUCGUACAUCAUAGUAUCGUUCGUAAAUGCCACACUAGUGCUCUCUAUCGGCGAAACGGUCGAGGAAGUGACUGAUUCUGGGUUUUUGGGCACAACCCCCACAUUGAGCUGCCACGCUAUGGGGAACGACGCGCUGGUGCAAGUAUAUCCCGACGGCAUCAGACACAUUCGCGCAGACAAGCGAGUCAACGAGUGGAAAGCGCCCGGCAAGAAGUCUAUCGUCAAAUGUGCAGUCAAUCAAAGACAGGUCGUGAUUGCACUCACUGGCGGCGAACUGGUUUAUUUCGAAAUGGAUCCUACUGGUCAACUUAAUGAAUAUACUGAGAGG
rnacentral:misc_RNA from 1 species